rnacentral:rRNA from 1 species
UACGAAGGGGGCUAGCGUUGUUCGGAAUUACUGGGCGUAAAGCGCGUGUAGGCGGGUCUUUAAGUCAGGGGUGAAAUGCCAAGGCUCGACCUUGGAACUGCCUUUGAUACUGGGGACCUUGAGUCCGGGAGAGGUGAGUGGAAUUGCGAGUGUAGAGGUGAAAUUCGUAGAUAUUCGCAAGAACACCAGUGGCGAAGGCGGCUCACUGGCCCGGAACUGACGCUGAGAUGCGAAAGCGUGGGGAGCAAACAGG